CGAGUCAUUGUAGCAAUACAAGGCAUACAGCUCAGUAACGCGUAGUCAACUUAACCUAUGGACGGGAAUAACCUCGGGAAACUGAGAAUAAUGCCCGAUAGAACAUUAUGCCUGGAAUGGUUUAUGUUCCAAAUGAUUUAUCGCCGUAGGAUGGGACUGCGGCCUAUCAGUUUGUUGGUGAGGUAAUGGCCCACCAAGACUAUUACAGGUACGGGCUCUGAGAGGAGUAGCCCGGAGAUGGGUACUGAGACACGGACCCAGGCCCUAUGGGGCGCAGCAGGCGAGAAAACUUUGCAAUGUGCGAAAGCACGACAAGGUUAAUCCGAGUGGUUUCUGCUAAAGAAACCUUUUGUCAGUCCUAGAAACACUGAUGAAUAAGGGGUGGGCAAGUUCUGGUGUCAGCCGCCGCGGUAAAACCAGCACCUCAAGUGGUCAGGAUGAUUAUUGGGCCUAAAGCAUCCGUAGCCGGCUCUGUAAGUUUUCGGUUAAAUCUGUACGCUCAACGUACAGGCUGCCGGGAAUACUGCAGAGCUAGGGAGUGGGAGAGGUAGACGGUACUCGGUAGGAAGGGGUAAAAUCCUUUGAUCUAUUGAUGACCACCUGUGGCGAAGGCGGUCUACCAGAACACGUCCGACGGUGAGGGAUGAAAGCUGGGGGAGCAAACCGGAUUAGAUACCCGGGUAGUCCCAGCUGUAAACUAUGCAAACUCAGUGAUGCAUUGGCUUGUGGCCAAUGCAGUGCUGCAGGGAAGCCGUUAAGUUUGCCGCCUGGGAAGUACGUACGCAAGUAUGAAACUCAAAGGAAUUGACGGAAU
rnacentral:rRNA from 1 species